rnacentral:tRNA from 1 species
GGCGAACUCGCUGACCCGGAUGCCGCCGUGCUCGUCGAGCACGGCGAGGGCCCGCAUGACCGCGCGGGGCAGGUCGUCGUCGCUGAUCGCCCC